UUUGAUCAAGUGAGUUUUACUCACUAAAGCUUUAUUAGUUUGCUAAUUAUGUCUUAGGGUUGGUUAGAUUUAAUUACAUGCACUUAGGUGGUUAGAUUAGGUUAGAACACUUAAAUUAGUGACUUGAGGAUGCAUGUUAGGUGGUUAGACUUAGCUAUGAGCAAGUAGAAAUGUUUGGUUAUUUAUUGAAUGUAUCUCGGGAUUUUUCCCGACCCGUUUCGGGCUCCAAUAAGGCAAUAUAGGCCUAAAUUGGAUUUUUAAUGUUUAUUUAUUUAUUUUUCGAAAUUAAUUAUUUAAUUAAUUAUUUUUCCGGAAAUUCAACCGGGAUGGCCGGUGACCGGAAUUUCGUGCCGAUUGUCGUGGUGCAGACCGUUUAUUUAUUUGAGCUCUACGUUGUGUGGAAUUGAAUUUAUUGUGGAAUGUUAGGAAUUGUCCUAAAUUGUUCGUUAUUGAAUGUUUGAUUGGUAAUGGCCAAGCAUGGGUAUAUAGCGCCAGUACGUUGAUGGGCUAUAUAGUAGGGAGGAUGGUGAGAUCAAUCAGGUACGAUAUGAUUGGACAUACGUGGUUCGGUGAUUGGAAGUAUCACUGGCGAAAACGGCGCCUUAAAGAACGCACGUAAAUGACUUAUAGACACACGUGGUUCGGUGGUUAUGGGAAUAUCACUGGUGAAAACGGCGCCUUAAAGAACGCACGAUGUUGUCUAUAGCCGAUGUCACCUUGGCGAAAACGGCGCCCUUGAAAGGACACGUGGUUCGGUGAUCAAGGUUAUCACUGGUGAAAACGGCGCCUUAAAGAACGCACGGUGUCGGUGAUCGGUAUGUCAUUGGCGAAAACGACGCCCGAGAAACACAUGUGAUUUGGUGAAUGAGUACACCACUGGGAAAUCGUGGUAUGAGUGGGAAUGACCUAGAAAGGGUCUGGCUGACAUGUAAUCGACUUAGUCGAUUGACUAGUGCUUGAUCGUAUGUCGUGAAUUGUUUGAAUAUCUGUGUUUAACCUUGAAUUGCAGGUUGGAACUGAGGCUAAGGUAAGUCCUCUGACUCGUGUUGUGCUUAGGCAACCGGAUGGCGUAUUAGUUUAUUAAUCGAGUCUUAGUGGGUAGGACUCGCUGAGACGUGGUCUCAUUGGUUAUUGAAUAACCAUUUCAGGACCCUGAGGAGAAGCUAAGGAAGGGGAACUUGAAGGGGAGAAAGACUUUUGAAGAAGAAGAUGAUCCAGAGAGGGAUCUUGAAUGUAACCCGGAUGUGGAUUGAGAUCCCAUCCCUUUUGUGAACCCUGUCUUGGUAUAGAUAGGUGUGAGACUUUUAUGCUGUAAAUAGUAUUGUAAAUAUACUAUGAGUGGUGCUGUUAAUGAAAGUGUGGUUGUGAA
rnacentral:lncRNA from 1 species